rnacentral:rRNA from 1 species
AGCGAACGCUGGCGGCAGGCCUAACACAUGCAAGUCGAGCGGCCGUAGCAAUACGGCAGCGGCAGACGGGAGAGUAACACGUGGGAACGCGCCCUUCGGUUCGGAAUAACUCAGGGAAACUUGAGCUAAUACCGGAUACGCCCUUACGGGGAAAGAUUUAUUGCCGAAGGAACGGCCCGCGUCCGAUUAGCUUGUUGGUGAGGUAACGGCUCACCAAGGCGACGAUCGGUAGCUGGUCUGCGAGGAUGACCAGCCUCACUGGGACUGAGACACGGCCCAGACUCCUACGGGAGGCAGCAGUGGGGAAUAUUGGACAAUGGGCGCAAGCCUGAUCCAGCCAUGCCGCGUGGGUGACGAAGGCCCUAGGGUUGUAAAGCCCUUUCAGCGGGGAAGAUAAUGACGGUACCCGCAGAAGAAGCCCCGGCUAACUUCGUGCCAGCAGCCGCCGUAAAAC